AAGUGUUUAGCAGGGCAAUUUAGCAUGGUAGGGCAGCUCUGUAAUCAGGGGAAGCGGGGUUUAACUCCCCUCCCUGGCCCCAGACCCCAGCUGGGGUUUGCCUGGGGGUUGUG